GGGGGAUUAGCUCAAUUGGUAGAGCACCUGCUUUGCAAGCAGGGGGUCGUCGGUUCGAUUCCGUCAUCCUCCACCA
rnacentral:tRNA from 2 species